CAUUUACGUUGGACCUGUGAUUCCCGAGCCCAAAAAAGAGCAACACGAAUUAUCAAAUUGGCUCGAGAAAUUCGAGCCAGGAUCAGUUGUGUUCUGUGCAUUUGGGAGUCAAAUGAUUCUUGAAAAGACGCAGUUUCAAGAGCUUGUUUUAGGCUUUGAAUUGACUGAGUUACCAUUUCUUUUAGUUGUUAAACCACCUCAAGGGACAAAUUCAGUAGAAGAAGCCUUGCCAGAGGGAUUCAAGCAAAGAAUUCAAGAAAAGGGAUUGAUUCUUGAUUGUUGGGUGCCACAAUUGGAGAUUUUAAGACACAAAUCAGUUGGUUGUUUCGUGACUCACUGUGGUUAUGGGUCGAUGUGGG
rnacentral:misc_RNA from 1 species